GGGUUGAUAGCGAAGUGGUUAAACGCGACGGACUGUAAAUCCGUUCUGAAAGGUUCGAUGGUUCGAAUCCAUCUCAACCCACCA
rnacentral:tRNA from 1 species